AUGAGUUUGAUCCUGGCUCAGAAUGAACGCUAGUAGUAUGCUUAACACAUGCAAGUUUAACAGAAUUUAUUUUUGUAGCGUACGGGUGAGGAAUAAACAGAGUAUUACCUAUUAGUUGAAAUCAAAACUUACUUAAGUGAGCCAAAUUUUCAAUAUUUAAAGACAGUAAAAGUUGCUAUAUGAAGAUUCUGUUUAAGAUUAGGUUGUUGGUAAUUUAAAAGCUUACCAAGCCUAUGAUCUUUAGUUGAUUUGAGAGAAUGAUCAACCACACUGGAACUGAAACAAGGUCCAGGCUAAUUUUUUUGCCAGCAGUGAGGGAUAUUGGACAAUGAACGAAAGUUUGAUCCAGCAAUACUACAUGAGUGAAGACGGCUUAUUUAUAGUUGUAAAACUCUUUCGUUAAAAAAGAUAAUGACAUUAUUUAAAGAAUUUAGUCCCGGCAAAUACUCGUGCCAGCAGCCGCGGUAAUACGGGAGGGGCAAGCGUUAUUCGUCAUAAUUGGGCGUAAAGAGUCCGUAGACUGUAAAAUAAGUUUUUUAUUAAAUUUCAAAACCUAAUUUUGAAAGUUAUAACUAAUACUGUUUUACUAUGAGUUUAAUACAGAAAAGUAGAAUUUUGUAAGAAAGGGUAAAAUCUGUAGAUAUACAAAGGAAUGCCUGCAGCGAAGGCGGCUUUUUAGUAUAAACUGACGUUGAGGGACGAAAGUAUGGGUAGCAAACAGGAUUAGAGACCCUGGUAGUCUAUACUGUAAAUUCUGAGUGUUGUGACUUAAAACGUUAUAAAACAUUUUUAGGUCUUUCAAGCUAACGCAAUAAACACUCCGCCUGAAGAGUAUAAUCGUAAGGUUGAAACUCAAAGGAAUUGACGGGGGUCUAAUACUAGUGGUGGAGCAUGUGGUUUAAUGCGAUAAUCCGCGCAAAACCUUACCAAUUCUUGACAUAAAUAGAUAGACCUUAAGUGUUAUAAUAGAGAACUCUUCUGUUUUAUCUAAUACAGGUGUUGCACGACUGUCGUCAGCUCGUGUCGUGAGAUGUUUGGUUAAGUCCUGAAACGGGCGUAACUCUUACUUUUACAUUGAUCUUACAAUAUAAGAGUUCUUUAUAGAUACUCUUAGAAUUGCUUUAAAAGAACGGUCAACGAUAAGUUGAAGGAAGGUGAGAAUUAAGUCAAGUCAAUGUGACCCUAAUGAAUUGGGCUACACACGUGCUACAAUGAAAAUUACAGAAAGUAACAAAAAGAAAACUUUAAGUUAAUCCUAAAAGAUUUUCCCAGUUCGAAUUGUAAACUGCAACUCGUUUACAUGAAGUUGGAAUCACUAGUAAUCGCAAAUCAGCAUGUUGCGGUGAACAUGUAACUUGACCUUGUACACACCGCCCGUCACUUGCAAAGAACUAAUUUUGCUUGAAAAUUUUAACAAAGUUGAUUGAGAAGUUAGUAAUUUGGAUGAAGUCGGAACAAGGUAGCUGUAC
rnacentral:rRNA from 1 species